rnacentral:lncRNA from 13 species
GGGGUGGGGACCUAGAACUUCCAAGGAUAUCUGCCCUCUGUCUUCAGUUACCAGUGUAGGUAGUAAAGGACCAUUAGAUAGAGACAGGGCUAGAUGUGUCUGACCUUAGACUCUCUUUGAGUGGCUUUCUGUGGCUGCUGUGGGGAAUGGGGGUAUGGUUUCCAGGUCAAUGGAAUUAUGUUCCUAGGAGAAUUCUGGCUGCCUCUGUUGUGUUGUAACAAGGAGAGUAAAACUUUAACCAGAUGGCCUGGUUCCCACACCAGGAGUUGAACCCGAGCCACCUGGGUGAAAAGCAGAAAUUCUAACUGCUAGACCACAUGGCUUUUGGCCUCUCUAACCCUGAAGAAUGGGGAAAGGGACCCCAGAGGCAUGUGACCCUGGCAGUGUGAGACUGCUACCUCUUUGGGUUCUUGGACAGCUUGUAAUAGUCUAAAAUUUCCUUAUGAUAUUUAAUGGGAAUUUCUGCCGAAGUUAGAAACUCUUUCUUUCCAUAUGACAGCAUGAGCAUGCAGAAGCAGAUUUACAGUUCCAGAUGCCUUGGGAAGCCUCAUGAUCAUGGCAGAAGGCAAGGAGGAGCAAGUCACAUCUUACAUCUGUGGCAGCAGCAAACAGAGAGCUUGUGCAGG